AUUCAAGUCUAGUUCAGUGCGUUGAUGACAUUAUAAUAAUCUGGUGCAAACUCAGUUAUGUUCAACAUCCAAUAGUCCACAACAAUAUAAUUAUGCGAAUACACUUGAAGAUCUCUUGCAUUUACAACCCAGAAAUAGUGGAUUACACACUAUUUAGGCCUUAUGCACGUUAGGAACACACAUGGUUUCACAUCCGUUUUUCUUGAGCAAUGACUUCCAUAGAUAAUAAAUUAGUUAAUACAAUUUACAGUUUUAUUCUUCUAAUAAAUGGUAAGAUACUUAUUGGUAGGAGUAUAA